UACGUAGGUGGCGAGCGUUGUCCGGAUUUACUGGGCGUAAAGAGCGCGCAGGCGGUCGUUCAAGUCGCGUGUGAAAGCCCCCGGCUCAACUGGGGAGGGUCACUCGAUACUGAUCGACUUGAAGGCAGGAGAGGGAAGCGGAAUUCCCGGUGUAGUGGUGAAAUGCGUAGAUAUCGGGAGGAACACCAGUGGCGAAGGCGGCUUCCUGGCCUGUUCUUGACGCUGAGGCGCGAAAGCUAGGGGAGCAAACGGG
rnacentral:rRNA from 1 species